GGUGUUUUGGGGUUUUUUCACUAUAAUCGAGAGAAUUACAUUUUACAAUAGACGAAUGAGUAAAAAUGAGAUGAUCAUCCUUCUCUAACCUACUACUAAGUCUCUAUUUAUAAGCAUGUAAAUAAUCCUUAGGGCCUCAAGCCCAUUCCCUAAGAUAAUUGGGCUUAAGCCCCUUUAAUACAUUGAAGGGUAAGAUAGUAAUUUCGGUUUUACGCGGGAGACCUCC
rnacentral:lncRNA from 1 species